rnacentral:rRNA from 1 species
GCCAGCAGCCAUAUCACCCUGCAACUCACAACUGGCAAACCACUGAAGCUAAGCGGGUGUGAGCCUGGUCAGUACCUGAAUAGGAGACCUCCUGGGAAAAACUAAGGUUGCUCCUGGAA